rnacentral:rRNA from 1 species
AGCAGCCGCGGUAAUUCCAGCUCCAAUAGCGUAUAUUAAAGUUGUUGCAGUUAAAAAGCUCGUAGUUGAAUUUCGGGAUUGACGUGACGGUCGUGCCUUACGGGGCAUGAACUGUCGCCGUUGAUUUCUCACCUUCUGGAGAAGCUCGAUGUCCUUAAUUGGGUGUCUUGCGGAACCAGGACCUUUACCUUGAAAAAAUUAGAGUGUUUAAAGCAGGCAUUAUUGCUCGAAUACAUUAGCAUGGAAUAAUAGAAUAGGACGGCAUGGUUCUAUUUUGUUGGUUUCUAGGAUCACCGUAAUGAUUAAUAGGGAUAGUUGGGGGCAUUAGUAUUCAAUUGUCAGAGGUGAAAUUCUUGGAUUUAUUGAAGACUAACUACUGCGAAAGCAUUUGCCAAGGAUGUUUUCAUUAAUCAAGAACGAAAGUUAGGGGAAUCGAAGACGAUCAGAUACCGUCGUAGUCUUAACCAUAAACUAUGCCGACUAGGAAUCAGACGAUGUAAUUUUUAAUGUACUCGUUUGG